rnacentral:misc_RNA from 1 species
UACUCUCACACUCUCUAAUGCGGUUGUGCAUUAGGCAGUGGUGGACUUGGGUGUUGCUGCUUCACGGUGGCUCACCUCAAAUGGAUUAGUGCAACUCCUGGUUGGACAUAGUACGGCGUGAUAAGUGUCUUCGCCGGCACCUCGUAAGAGGGUGGCUGAUCGGGAGCUCUGUGCUUUCAAACCGUCUUCGGACACUCUCUGACA